UCCAAGACUACUGAAGUGUAUCAGGAAAAAACAAACAUUAACCAGAGUGCAGUGAAGUGCGUGCAAAGAAAAGUGCAGGUUUGGGGUCUGUUUCACUGCUAGCACAGCUGUGCCUCUCUGCCAUUGUUUUGAGCCAGAAACCCCCACAUCGGAGGGACGCAUGCAAACUCGUCCCUGCUGGAAACUGGCGGCCUGAAGAGCAGGAGGACGAAGCUAAUCAAGUUCCAGCUAUCGUUGGGGUCGGCCGCAGCUGGAGGGUCUGCUCAGCCCGGGAAGGCCCCAGGAAGAGUAGCAGAAAAGGGGAUGCAGGAGGUUGGCGAUUCUGCACCUCCAGGAACACCCAGAGCCACUCUGGAUCAUGCAGUAGCCAAAUGACUUCAGCUGAGCUCUGGAGAGAUGGAGACGUUAAGGGAGUGUCAGUGUGUCUCCAUAUCUGUAAAUAUAUACAUACAUAUA